rnacentral:rRNA from 1 species
UACGGAGGGGGCUAGCGUUGUUCGGAAUUACUGGGCGUAAAGCGCGCGUAGGCGGUUUUGUAAGUCAGAGGUGAAAGCCUGGAGCUCAACUCCAGAACUGCCUUUGAAACUACAUCGCUAGAAUCAUGGAGAGGUUAGUGGAAUUCCGAGUGUAGAGGUGAAAUUCGUAGAUAUUCGGAAGAACACCAGUGGCGAAGGCGACUAACUGGACAUGUAUUGACGCUGAGGUGCGAAAGCGUGGGGAGCAAACAGG